GAUGGAUUGAUUUAGUUUACUACGGUAAUUUAUUUCAGAUAAAAAAAAGGUAAAAAUGCAGGCUAAUUUAUCUAAACUAUGAAUCAUUUUGAAUCGAUUAUUCAAUAUUUCAAAUUUUUUAUUUUAUUAUCCAACAUUUUAGUAUAUUUAAUUUGAUUCAGUUAACGAUAUUUUGAUUUAAAAAUGUAAACUAGUUAUUUAUUUUAAUAAAUUUAUAAUUAUAAGAAUUGUAUAAAGUAUACUAACUAAACAUAUAAAGAUACAUGACGUAUUCAAAUUUUGAAGUCAAAAUGCGCUGACUGAUUUAAAUCAAAACAAAUUGAAAAGCAUUAGAUCAUCAGAUUAAAGUUUUCAAAGAUUGAAUAGUUAUUUUAAACUGGAUCAUAGUUUAGAUAAAUUCUGUACAUUUUUACCGAUAUAUAUAUAUAGUAUAGAGCUACUAUGCUAUCAGAAGUAUAAAGUAGUCGGUGCUUUUGAUUUUUUAGCUCUUGGAUUAAAAAUUUUAUGGUUGGGAUGAUAGCGGUCCCCUUAGUGUUGAGUGGUCCUCAUUGGUUAAUAAUAUUAAUCUAAUGAUUAGAAAUGAUCAAUGGAGUUGAUCUAAGGGCUAAAAAAUCGGUAGUUGGUGCUUCCGAUUUUUUAGCUCUUAGAUCAAAGAUUUUAUAAUUGGGAUGAUAGCGGUUCCUUUAGGAUUGAGUGGUCCCCAUUGGUUAUAAUAUUAAUCUAAUGGUUAGAAAUGAUCAAUGGAGUUGAUCUAAGGGCUAAAAAAUUGAAAGCACUAAUCAAUUUAUACUUCCGAUAGCAUAGUAACUCUACUAUAUAUAUAU
rnacentral:lncRNA from 1 species